GUGAGGAAUAUUGCGCAAUGGAGGCAACUCUGACGCAGCCAUGCCGCGUGCAGGAAGAAGGCGCUACGCGUUGUAAACUGCUUUUAACCGGGAAGAAACCCCAGGACGUGUCCUGGGUUGACGGUACCGGAGGAAUAAGCACCGGCUAACUUCGUGCCAGCAGCCGCGGUAAUACGAAGGGUGCAAGCGUUAUCCGGAUUCAUUGGGUUUAAAGGGUGCGUAGGCGGAGCGUUAAGUCAGUGGUGAAAUCCUGCAGCUUAACUGUAGACUUGCCAUUGAUACUGGCGCGCUUGAGUGCGCUUGAAGUGGGCGGAAUGUGCCGUGUAGCGGUGAAAUGCUUAGAUAUGGCACAGAACACCAAUUGCGAAGGCAGCUCACUAAGGCGAUACUGACGCUGAGGCACGAAAGCGUGGGGAUCGAACAGGAUUAGAUACCCCUGUAGUCC
rnacentral:rRNA from 1 species